rnacentral:rRNA from 1 species
GACGAACGCUGGCGGCGUGCCUAAUACAUGCAAGUCGAACGCAGUGGGGACGGGUGAGUAACACGUGGGUAACCUCCCCUCAGAUGGGAUAACACUUGGAAACAGGUGCUAAACCGAUACUGAUGGAUGGACCCGCUUUGCAUUAGCUAGUUGGUGAGGUAACGGCUCACCAAGGCCACGAUGCAUAGCAGACCUGGGAGGGUGAUAAGCCACACUGGGACUGAGACACGGCCCAGACUACAACGGGAGGCAGCAGAAGGGAAUCUUCGGCAAUGGAAGAAAGUCUGACCGAGCAAUGCCGCGUGAGUGAAGAAGGUUUUCGGAUAGUAAAACUCUUUUGUUAGAGAAGCGGUAUCUAACCAGAAAGCAACGGCUAACUACGUGCCAGCAGCCGCGGUAAUUC